rnacentral:rRNA from 1 species
GACGAACGCUGGCGGCGUGCUUAACACAUGCAAGUCGAACGAUGAACCCGGAGCUUGCUCUGGGGGAUUAGUGGCGAACGGGUGAGUAACACGUGAGUAACCUGCCCUGGACUCUGGGAUAAGCGUUGGAAACGACGUCUAAUACCGGAUAGGACCUUGGAUCGCAUGAUCUGGGGUGGAAAGUUUUUUCGGUCUGGGAUGGACUCGCGGCCUAUCAGCUUGUUGGUGAGGUAAUGGCUCACCAAGGCGUCGACGGGUAGCCGGCCUGAGAGGGUGACCGGCCACGCUGGGACUGAGACACGGCCCAGACUCCUACGGGAGGCAGCAAGGGGGAAUAUUGCACAAUGGGCGAAAGCCUGAUGCAGCAACGCCGCGUGCGGGAUGACGGCCUUCGGGUUGUAAACCGCUUUUAGUAGGGAAGAAGGGCUUCGGCUUGACGGUACCUGCAGAAAAAGGACCGGCUAACUACGUG